rnacentral:rRNA from 1 species
GGGGGGGGUAGAAUUCCGGGUGCAGCCGUUAAAAUUGGGUAUAGUUUUUGGGGGAAGACCGGUGGGGAAUGCCGGUCCCCCUUGGACAAAAGACUGAUGUUUGAAGCUGCGAAAGCCGUGGUGAGCACAACAGGGAUCGAGAUUCGCCUGGUAGUACUACCCCGUAAACGAUGUCGAUUUUGGACGGUUGUGCCCGGGAGUCGUGGCUUCCCGGACCUAACGCGUUAAAUCGAGUUUCUAAGGAGUAUGGCCGCAAGGUUAAAACUCAAUUGAAUUGACGGGGGCCGGCACAAGCGGUGGAGCAUGUGGUCUAUUACGAUGCAUCGCGAAGACCCUCACCUGGUCUUGACAUCCACAGACCUUGCCAUAGAUGGAUUGGUGUCUUCGGGAACUGUGAGACAGCUGCGGCAUUGCUGUCGUCAGCUCGUGUUGUGAAAUGUUGGGUUAAGUACCGCAACGAGCGCAACCCUUAUCCUUCGUUGCCAGCGGUUAGGCCGGGAACUCAAAGGAGACUGCCAGUGAUAAACUGGAGGAAGGUGGGGAUGACGUCAAGUCAUCAUGGUGCUUACGACCAGGGCCACACCCGCGCUACAAUGGCAUAUACAAAGAGAGGCGACCUCGCGAGAGCAAGCGGACCUCAUAAAGUAUGUCGUAGUCCGGAUUGGAGUCUGCAACUCGACUGCAUGAAGUCGGAAUCGCUUGUAAUCGUAGAUCAGAAGGAUACGGUGAAUACGUUCACGCA